UACAGGAGGGGGCAAGCGUUAUUCGGAAUUAUUGGGCGUAAAGGCGCGUAGGCGGCCAUUCAAGUGACGGGUGAAAGCCCUCGGCUUAACCGAGGAACUGCCUGUCAGACUGGAUGGCUUGAGACCGGGAGAGGUGAGUGGAAUUCCCAGUGUAGCGGUGAAAUGCGUAGAUAUUGGGAGGAACACCAGUGGCGAAGGCGGCUCACUGGGCCGGAACUGACGCUGAGGCGCGAAAGCGUGGGGAGCAAACAGG
rnacentral:rRNA from 1 species